rnacentral:rRNA from 1 species
ACUGGGACUGAGACACGGCCCAGACUCCUACGGGAGGCAGCAGUGGGGAAUAUUGGACAAUGGGGGCAACCCUGAUCCAGCAAUUCUGUGUGCACGAAGAAGGUUUUCGGAUUGUAAAGUGCUUUCAGCAGGGAAGAAGGAAGUGACGGUACCUGCAGAAGAAGCGACGGCUAAAUACGUGCCAGCAGCCGCGGUAAUACGUAUGUCGCGAGCGUUAUCCGGAAUUAUUGGGCAUAAAGGGCAUCUAGGCGGCCUAACAAGUCAGGGGUGAAAACCUGCGGCUCAACCGCAGGCUUGCCUUUGAAACUGUAAGGCUGGAGUACCGGAGAGGUGGACGGAACUGCACGAGUAGAGGUGAAAUUCGUAGAUAUGUGCAGGAAUGCCGAUGAUGAAGAUAGUCCACUGGACGGAAACUGACGCUGAAGUGCGAAAGCCGGGGGAGCGAACAGGAUUAGAUACCCUGGUAGUCCCGGCCGUAAACGAUGAUUACUGGGUGUGGGCAGGAAGACUGUCUGUGCCGAAGCGAAUGCGAUAAGUAAUCCGCCUGGGGAGUACGGCCGCAAGGCUGAAACUCAAAGGAAUUGACGGGGACCCGCACAAGCGGUGGAGCAUGUGGUUUAAUUCGACGCAACGCGAGGAACCUUACCAGAUCUUGACAUCCUACGAAUGCCUGUGAGAACAGGCAGUGCCUUCGGGAACGUAGAGACAGGUGGUGCAUGGCUGUCGACAGCUCGUGUCGUGAGAUGUUGGGUUAAGUCCCGCAACGAGCGCAACCCUUUUUGCUAGUUACCAUCAUUAAGUUGGGGACUCUAGCGAGACUGCCUGCGAAGAGCAGGAGGAAGGUGGGGAUGACGUCAAGUCAUCAUGCCCCUUAUGAUCUGGGCUACACACGUGCUACAAUGGGCUGUACAGAGAGGAGCGAGGUGGUGACACGGAGCGAAUCUUGAAAGCAGUUCGAAGUUCGGAUUGAAGUCUGCAACUCGACUUCAUGAAGUUGGAAUCGCUAGUAAUCGCGGAUCAGCAAUGCCGCGGUGAAUACGUUCUCGGGUCUUGUACACACCGCCCGUCACACCACGAGAGUUGUCUGCACCUGAAGUUACUGGUCUAACUUUUGAGGAAGGUACCUAAGGUGUGGAUAGUGAUUGGGGUGAAGUCGUAACAAGGUAUCCGUACCGGAAGGUGCGGAUG